rnacentral:rRNA from 2 species
CGGGCGUUAAGUUGCAGGGUAUAGACCCGAAACCCGGUGAUCUAGCCAUGGGCAGGUUGAAGGUUGGGUAACACUAACUGGAGGACCGAACCGACUAAUGUUGAAAAAUUAGCGGAUGACCUGUGGCUGGGGGUGAAAGGCCAAUCAAACCGGGAGAUAGCUGGUUCUCCCCGAAAGCUAUUUAGGUAGCGCCUCGUGAAUUCAUCUCCGGGGGUAGAGCACUGUUUCGGCUAGGGGGCCAUCCCGGCUUACCAACCCGAUGCAAACUGCGAAUACCGGAGAAUGUUAUCACGGGAGACACACGGCGGGUGCUAACGUCCGUCGUGAAGAGGGAAACAACCCAGACCGCCAGCUAAGGUCCCAAAGUCAUGGUUAAGUGGGAAACGAUGUGGGAAGGCCCAGACAGCCAGGAUGUUGGCUUAGAAGCAGCCAUCAUUUAAAGAAAGCGUAAUAGCUCACUGGUCGAGUCGGCCUGCGCGGAAGAUGUAACGGGGCUAAACCAUGCACCGAAGCUGCGGCAGCGACACUGUGUGUUGUUGGGUAGGGGAGCGUUCUGUAAGCCUGUGAAGGUGUGUCGUGAGGCAUGCUGGAGGUAUCAGAAGUGCGAAUGCUGACAUAAGUAACGAUAAAGCGGGUGAAAAGCCCGCUCGCCGGAAGACCAAGGGUUCCUGUCCAACGUUAAUCGGGGCAGGGUGAGUCGACCCCUAAGGCGAGGCCGAAAGGCGUAGUCGAUGGGAAACGGGUUAAUAUUCCCGUACUUGGUGUUACUGCGAAGGGGGGACGGAGAAGGCUAUGUUGGCCGGG